rnacentral:rRNA from 1 species
CCUACGGGCGGCUGCAGUGGGGAAUAUUGGACAAUGGGGGGAACCCUGAUCCAGCCAUGCCGCGUGUGUGAAGAAGGCCCUCGGGUUGUAAAGCACUUUCAGUGAGGAAGAACGCCUGGUGGUUAAUACCCAUCAGGAAAGACAUCACUCACAGAAGAAGCACCGGCUAACUCCGUGCCAGCAGCCGCGGUAAUACGGAGGGUGCGAGCGUUAAUCGGAAUUACUGGGCGUAAAGCGCGCGUAGGUGGCUUGAUAAGCCGGUUGUGAAAGCCCCGGGCUCAACCUGGGAACGGCAUCCGGAACUGUCAAGCUAGAGUGCAGGAGAGGAAGGUAGAAUUCCCGGUGUAGCGGUGAAAUGCGUAGAGAUCGGGAGGAAUACCAGUGGUGAAGGCGGCCUUCUGGACUGACACUGACACUGAGGUGCGAAAGCGUGGGUAGCAAACAGGAUUAGAUACCCUGGUAGUC